rnacentral:rRNA from 1 species
UACGUAGGGUGCGAGCGUUGUCCGGAAUCAUUGGGCGUAAAGCGCGUGUAGGCGGCCAUGUAAGUCCGUUCUGAAAGCCCGGGGCUCAACCCCGGGAGGCGGAUGGAUACUGCAUGGCUCGAGUACGGAAGAGGCGAGUGGAAUUCCCGGUGUAGCGGUGAAAUGCGCAGAUAUCGGGAGGAACACCAAUGGCGAAGGCAGCCCGCUGGGACGUUACUGACGCUGAGACGCGAAAGCGUGGGGAGCAAACAGG